GUUGUCCCUGCACGAGGGCGGGUUGGUGGAGGAGCCGCGCGGCUGCGGUCCUCCCCUAUUCCUGCAGGCGAGAGUAGGUGAGGUAAGGGGAGCGAGAGAGGGAGAGCUGGUGCGCGAGCAAGGGGAGGAGUCGAGGGGAAGCGGCGACGGAGUAGUGGCAGCGCCGUUGGGAGCAGCGGAAGCCCGCCCUCCUGCAGGUCCUCCAGGCGCCGUCGGCCGAAGCAGGCAGGGCCCGUAGUCGAGUUGGCCCCGCCAAGUACGCGAGCGGUAGCAGCAGGAGACGUAGCAGGUGCUGGUGUCCUGCUCGACCCGUGGAUGAGAAGUAGGCCUAGCUCGCGAAGAAGAAGCAGGCCGACAACUGCGGUAACGGCCUUAAGCUUCGGGGACGUCGAGGAUUUGGCAUGUGGCUCGGAGGAACACGAGGAGCUACCACCUAGGGACCUCGGUCUACGGUGGCGGCUGCCUAUGAUGAUGUACCUCCGGUGGCUUCUGGUCCUCAUCAAUCCUCCAGGGUCCGUCCUCCGGAACGGAGAAGCUAGCACAACGAAAACACGAUCGGAAGAAUUCCGUAGGAACAGAUUGAAUACAGACAUGAGUCUAUAACAACGAAGGCGACUGAGAACACAUAACUUGAACAUAAGCUCGGGAGCUCCGGGGACCGAACAUUAUACUUCGAACAUAAUAAAGUAAAACACAGAUCUCAACACAACACUAUAGAAGGGCACUCAGGGA
rnacentral:rRNA from 1 species